GCGCAGGAAAAGAAACCAACAGGGAUUGCCCCAGUAACGGCGAGUGAAGCGGCAACAGCUCAAAUUUGAAAUCUGGCUUCGGCCCGAGUUGUAAUUUGCAGAGGAAGCUUUAGGCGCGGCACCAUCUGAGUCCCCUGGAACGGGGCGCCAAAGAGGGUGAGAGCCCCGUAUAGAUGGACGCCUAGCCUGUGUAAAGCUCCUUCGACGAGUCGAGUAGUUUGGGAAUGCUGCUCAAAAUGGGAGGUAAAUUUCUUCUAAAGCUAAAUAUUGGCCAGAGACCGACAGCGCACAAGUAGAGUGAUCGAAAGAUGAAAAGCACUUUGAAAAGAGGGUUAAAUAGCACGUGAAAUUGUUGAAAGGGAAGCGCUUGUGACCAGACUUGCGCCGGGCGGAUCAUCCGGUGUUCUCACCGGUGCACUCCGCCCGGCUCAGGCCAGCAUCGGUUCUCGUGGGGGGAUAAAGGCACCGGGAACGUAGCUCCUCCGGGAGUGUUAUAGCCCGGGGCGUAAUGCCCUCGCGGGGACCGAGGACCGCGCUUCUGCAAAGAUGCUGGGGUAAUGGUCAUCAGGGACCCCUAUUGAGACACGGACAAAGGAAGUCAACGGGUUUUGACAAGUGUGUGCCGGAUGAAAAAAUUCACAAGUAGAAGCGGUUGACGGUAGCAAGUAGACAAUUACUGGGGGCAAUCACCCGGUUGGUUCCUGUUUGUCUGGAGGUUAGGUCUUUUUAAAGGCAACCCACCGUGGUAAGGAAUUGUCAAG
rnacentral:rRNA from 1 species